rnacentral:rRNA from 1 species
GAUGAACGCUAGCGGAAGGCUUAAUACAUGCAAGUCGAGCGGUAGGUGGCUUCGGCCAUUGAGAGCGGCGCACGGGUGAGUAACGCGUACAUGACCUGCCUGUCAGAAGGGGAUAGCCCUGGGAAACUGGGAUUAAUACCCUAUGGUAUUGAUAUUAUGAAUGAUAUCAAUUAAAGUUGAGGCGCUGACAGAUGGAUGUGCGUCUGAUUAGCUAGUUGGUAGGGUAACGGCCUACCAAGGCGACGAUCAGUAGGGGGCGUGAGAGCGUGGUCCCCCACACGGGUACUGAGACACGGACCCGACUCCUACGGGAGGCAGCAGUAAGGAAUAUUGGUCAAUGCCCGCAGGGGGUGAACCAGCCAUUCCGCGUGGAGGAUGAAGGCCCUAUGGGUUGUAAACUUCUUUUAGAUGGGAAGAAAAUGCUAGAUGUAUCUGGUACUGACGGUACCAUCAGAAUAAGCACCGGCUAAACUCCGUGCCAGCAGCCGCGGUAAU